GACGAACGCUGGCGGCGUGCUUAACACAUGCAAGUCGAACGAAGUGGCGAACGGGUGAGUAACGCGUAAUCAACCUGCCCUUCAGAGGGGGACAACAGUUGGAAACGACUGCUAAUACCGCAUACGGAAGGAGGGGAUUGCGUCCGAUUAGCUAGUUGGAGGGGUAACGGCCCACCAAGGCGAUGAUCAGUAGCCGGUCUGAGGGGAUGAACGGCGACAAUGGGCCUGAGAUACGGCCCAAACUCGUACGGGAGGCAGCGGUGGGGAAUAUUGCAGAAUGGGGGAGAGCCAGAUGCGGCAGCGCCGCGUGCGUGAUGACGGGCUUCGGGUGGUAAACCGCGUUCUGCCAUGACGCGGUAGUGGCAGAAGAAGCACCGGCUAACUACGUGCCAGCAGCCGCGGUAAUAC
rnacentral:rRNA from 1 species